rnacentral:misc_RNA from 1 species
CGAAAUGCGAUAAUUAAUGUGAAUUGCAGAAUUCAGUGAAUCAUCGAGUCUUUGAACGCACAUUGCGCCCCUGGUAUUCCGGGGGGCAUGCCUGUCCGAGCGUCAUUGCUGCCCUCAAGCACGGCUUGUGUGUUGGGCUUCCGUCCCUGGCAACGGGGACGGGCCCAAAAGGCAGUGGCGGCACCAUGUCUGGUCCUCGAGCGUAUGGGGCUUUGUCACCCGCUCCCGUAGGUCCAGCUGGCAGCUAGCCUCGCAACCAAUCUUUUUAACCAGGUUGACCUCGGAUCAGGUAGGGAUACCCGCUGAACUUAAGC